GGUGGGUUGGCGUAAUGGCAACGCGUUAGUUUCCGGUCAAGUGUGCUUGAUACUGAGCUAAAGAUUCUGGGUUCGAGUCCCAGGCCUGUCG